rnacentral:lncRNA from 1 species
GAGCGGCAUGGUGUGGGCGAGAGGAGAUGAGCAAUCUGUGAGAGGUGGUGAAUGAUGGUCCGUGAGAGGCUACAAAUGGUGGUGGUGGUGAACGGUAGUUCGUGCAAAGAGGAGGUGAACGGCCACGACGUGCGUCACGAGGGUGAGAGGCGGUGGCAUCAGGAGAACGACAGUGGUGUGGUGGCGAACGGUGGUGGUGGUGAAUGGUGGUCC